AACGAACGCUGGCGGCAUGCCUUACACAUGCAAGUCGAACGGCAUCACGGGAGCAAUCCUGGUGGCGAGUGGCGAACGGGUGAGUAAUAUAUCGGAACGUGCCCAGUCGUGGGGAUAACGUAGCGAAAGCUACGCUAAUACCGCAUACGAUCUAUGGAUGAAAGCGGGGGAUCGCAAGACCUCGCGCGAUUGGAGCGGCCGAUAUCAGAUUAGGUAGUUGGUGAGGUAAAGGCUCACCAAGCCGACGAUCUGUAGCUGGUCUGAGAGGACGACCAGCCACACUGGGACUGAGACAGGACCAGACUCCUACGGGAGGCAGCAGUGAGGAAUAUUGGACAAUGGGCGCAAGCCUGAUCCAGCCAUGCCGCGUGCAGGAAGAAGGUCCUAUGGAUUGUAAACUGCUUUAUACAAGAAGAAAC
rnacentral:rRNA from 1 species